rfam:Aedes albopictus isolate Foshan contig46933, whole genome shotgun sequence.
UGUUCUGUGGCUUAGUUGGUUAAAGCGCCGGUCUAGCGAAUACGGAGUCGUGGGUUCGAAUCCCACCAGAACGA